rnacentral:lncRNA from 1 species
UUCAAGCCAAAAAUUGAAAGAAAAUCAUACCUUAAGAUCAUGCUAAGUGUGCGAUAACAACACUAAUAGCUGAAAUCAUUAAUUUGGAGGUUUGUAAUGACUAUUUCAACCAUUCGAGUUCUGUUUGCACAAAAGUGGUAGUAUUUAUGUUUAUCUUGAGAUCAUGCACAAAUAGGAAAUGGGGCGUUCCUUCAUCUUUAUUUCUUUCCUUUCAAUUUUCAAUAAGAAAGCAG